rnacentral:rRNA from 1 species
GGGCCGAUCGCCUUGAGUUGAUCAUGGCUCAGAAUCAACGCUGGCGGCGCGCUUAACACAUGCAAGUCGAACGAGAAAGGGGAGCAAUCCCUGAGUAAAGUGGCGUACGGGUGAGUAACACGUGGGUAAUCUACCUUUUGGUGGGGAAUAACCCUGGGAAACCGGGGCUAACACCGCAUAAGCUCGAAAGAGGAAAAGAGAAAUCUGCCGAAAGAGGAGCCCGCGGCUGAUUAGCUAGUUGGUGAGGUAAAGGCUCACCAAGGCAAUGAUCGGUAGCCGGCCUGAGAGGGCACACGGCCACACUGGCACUGAAACACGGGCCAGACUCCUACGGGAGGCAGCAGUGGGGAAUCUUGCACAAUGGGGGAAACCCUGAUGCAGCGACGCCGCGUGAGUGAUGAAGCCCUUCGGGGUGUAAAGCUCUUUCGGCAGGGACGAUAAUGACGGUACCUGAAGAAGAAGCUGCGGCUAACUACGUGCCAGCAGCCGCGGUAAUACGUAGGCAGCGAGCGUUGUUCGGAGUUACUGGGCGUAAAGAGUGCGUAGGCGGUUUUCUAAGUUUGGUGUGAAAUCUCCCGGCUCAACUGGGAGGGUGCGCCGAAGACUGGAAGGCUUGAGUAUGGGAGAGGUAAGCGGAAUUCCUGGUGUAGCGGUGAAAUGCGUAGAUAUCAGGAGGAACACCAGCGGUGUAGACGGCUUACUGGACCAUAACUGACGCUGAAGCACGAAAGCGUGGGUAGCAAACAGGAUUAGAUACCCUGGUA